rnacentral:rRNA from 1 species
GGAUUAGAUACCCUGGUAGUCCACGCUGUAAACGAUGAUUACUCGGUGCUGGCGAUACACUGUCAGUGCCUAAGCGAAAGUGAUAAGUAAUCCACCUGGGGAGUACGAUCGCAAGGUUGAAACUCAAAGGAAUUGACGGGGGCCCGCACAAGCGGUGGAGCAUGUGGUUUAAUUCGAUGAUACGCGAGGAACCUUACCUGGGCUUAAAUGCAUAAUGACAGACUGGGAAACCAGUCCUUCUUCGGACAGAAUGCAAGGUGCUGCAUGGCUGUCGUCAGCUCGUGCCG